UCAGCUGUCAGGAGAGGCAAUUUCUUUGGGUUUACAACAUUACAAAUUCCCCUUAGGAACAUCUGUGAUGAUCCCCUAAAUGUUGGUUCUUUUUAUGUGUUGAAAUAAUGUGAUAAUUUCUUAUUUUUAUGUUUAUUACUCAUCAUUUGCCAUGGCAUAUUUUAACUGCAAAAUGUUUGGUUGAUCAUCAGACCAGACAAGGAAAUCAUGGUUCCAACACUCCUAUUUGUGACUGGGAUGAAGACACUGCCGGAGACACUAUUUGCACUCGCCUUCUAACUGUGAAUCGGUCAUUAGUGGCUCAUACGGCUUUGUUAAUUGAAUCCUUUAUAUAAUCCUCGAUCAUUGUUCACGUCCUGGUGAACCAAUUGGAUGUGUCGUUCAAGUUCUACAAGAUCUGGUGCUCCAUCAUUGAUGUCCUAGACAUCGACACGGCAGAAAUCUAGAAGGAUUAGCAGCUGCGGAAGAAGAUGAAGCAUAUGCGGUGCUUCAUAGAGUGUAGCUGGCGGCGAGGAUGAUCCAGGGACCUGUGAUCGUGGAGAGUGACUGCACUAUCGACGCUCCAACAACGACAGAGUAUAAACAGAUCAAAACACCAUGUGAUCUAUAAUGUCAGGGACCUGGCAGCAAGGUUAUCUUGUUGCAACUUCCAGUUUUUGAGAAGAGAUGGCAACCUGAUUGC